GGGGGCGAUUAGGAUUCGACGCCGGUGUCAAAGCCCAAGGUGCAUGCCGUGAUGGCAGCCAAUCACGUAAAUCAAAAGCUGUAACUUUACAGUUGCCAAUGAUGACAACUACGGUGCCCAACUCGCUGCGUAAGUAGCCUGUGAAGCAUCUCUAGCGGUGCGCCGCUAGCGGUUUUUAGCAAGGUGCCAGUACCGCGCUAACGACUGUCAAAUAGAACUGGAUAGCUGUGUUGUUAAGAUCGCGGCAACAUUGCAAAACUAAUAGCGAACUCGCCCGCCACGUCCUGACCGUUGGGCUGAGGAUGGGUCAAAACAAUAAACGGAAACUAAGCAUGUAGAGCCGCGGAUGGAGAGCUGACGGACGGGGGUUCAAAUCCCCCCGCCUCCACCA
rnacentral:tmRNA from 1 species